rnacentral:rRNA from 1 species
CCUACGGGUGGCAGCAGUGGGGAAUAUUGGACAAUGGGGGGAACCCUGAUCCAGCGACACCGCGUGAGUGAAGAAGUAUUUCGGUAUGUAAAGCUCUAUCAGCCGGGAAGAAAGAAAUGACGGUACCUGACUAAGAAGCCUCGGCUAACUACGUGCCAGCAGCCGCUGGAAUCCGUAGGGGGCAAGGGUUCUCCGGAUUUACUGGGUGUAAAGGGAGCGUAGACGGUUACGCAAGUCUGGAGUGAAGGGCGGGGGGCUAACCCCCGGACUGCUUUGGAAACUGUAUGACUGGAGUGCAGGAGAGGUAAGUGGAAUUCGUAGUGUAGCGGUGAAAGGCGUAGAUAUUAGGAGGAACACCAGUGGCGAAGGCGGCUUACUGGACUGUAACUGACGUUGAGGCUCGAAAGCGUGGGGAGCGAACAGGAUUAGAUACCCCAGUAGUC